rnacentral:rRNA from 1 species
CCUACGGGGGGCAGCAGUGAGGAAUAUUGGUCAAUGGGCGGAAGCCUGAACCAGCCAAGUCGCGUGAGGGAUUAAGGCCCUGCGGGUCGUAAACCUCUUUUGCCGGGGCGCAGAGGUCCGGACGUGUCCGGGCCGGGAGAGUACCCGGAGAACAAGCAUCGGCUAACUCCGUGCCAGCAGCCGCGGUAAUACGGAGGAUGCGAGCGUUAUCCGGAUUUAUUGGGGUUAAAGGGUGCGUAGGCGGGCAUUUAAGCCGGCGGUCAAAUGUCGGGGCUCAACCCCGGCCUGCCGUCGGAACUGGGUGCCUUGAGUGGGCGAGAAGUAGGCGGAAUGCGUGGUGUAGCGGUGAAAUGCAUAGAUAUCACGCAGAACCCCGAUUGCGAAGGCAGCAUACCGGCGCCCUACUGACGCUGAGGCACGAAAGUGCGGGUAUCGAACAGGAUUAGAUACCCCGGUAGUC